rnacentral:misc_RNA from 1 species
CAGAACUCUGUGAACAAACUUGAAGUGAAAUUCAAAACAAGAUCAUACAUAAGACCACAAAUAGUAACUAAAAAGCUCUCUGGGGCAAGUUUAUGCUUCUACGCAGAGAUGAAUAUAGCAGACGCAGCAGUGAUGGCAAUGGUACAUCCAAGUUGAAUCUGUCGCAUGACCCCAAAUGAUUUAGGCUCCACCGUUGUUGACCCGGUGGUUGGGGAAGCAGGAGUAGUAGUAGAAGCCUUGGUACUAUUGGCGAAGAUGGCAUUGUCGGGGGAGCUCGGAGACAAUCCUAAAAGCUUAGGGCAGUCGUUAACACUGGCAUUAGUCAGCUUACAUGCCUGGGGAAGCAGGAGGAGGCGGGAUAUCUGCAGGCCGAGGCUCUUCGUAGUAGCACCUCCUUUGCUGGCUUGCUGAAUAAUGUAGCAUAGGCAUUCGGGAUCACUCCCUCGUAUGCCAGCCACCGAAGUGCAGCACUCACUGGUCGGGGCAUCGGCCUGGGCGGUGGCGUAGUUCAGGCACGACAUCAGCUUUGUCAGCUCCGGCGAGCACUUGGUCUGCAAGUCCUCGCAGGACCCCAGCCCAAGCAGCAAGACGAGGAUCAAGAUAAACUGAAUGCCACCCAUUUUCGUAGUUCUC